GCGGCUUCCCCGGGCGCCGCCAUCUUUGCUCCCGGUGCCCCGGCCCGGCUCCAGCAUGUCCGAGACCUACGAUUUCCUCUUCAAGUUCCUGGUGAUCGGCAGCGCCGGCACCGGCAAGUCCUGCCUGCUGCACCACUUCAUCGAGAGCAAGUUCAAGCAGGAUUCCAACCACACCAUCGGGGUGGAAUUCGGCUCCAAGGUCGUCAACGUGGGCGGGAAAACGGUGAAACUUCAGAUCUGGGACACGGCCGGCCAGGAGCGCUUCAGAUCGGUGACCCGCAGUUACUACCGGGGGGCCGCGGGGGCGCUGCUCGUCUAUGACAUCACCAGCCGGGAGACGUACAACGCGCUGGCGCAGUGGCUGACGGACGCCCGCACCUUGGCCAGCCCCAACAUCGUCAUCAUCCUCUGCGGCAACAAGAAGGACCUGGAGGGCGAGCGGGAGGUGACGUUCCUGGAGGCCUCGCGCUUCGCCCAGGAAAACGAGUUGAUGUUCCUGGAGACGAGCGCGCUGACGGGCGAGAACGUGGAGGAGGCGUUCCUCAAGUGCGCCCGCACCAUCCUCAACAAGAUCGAAUCCGGGGAGCUGGAUCCCGAGCGGAUGGGAUCCGGGAUCCAGUACGGGGACGCAUCGCUCCGGCAGCUCCGGCAGCCCCGGGGGGCUCCGGCCCCGAGCCGGCAGAGCUGCGGCUGCUGAGACCCCCCCAAAAUAUUCCCAAAAAACAGGUGAGACCCUCCGGAAAUCCCAAAAAAUUCAGGACCAGGUGCCUCCGCUGGAUCUCGGGGACCCCCCCAGGAAUUUUUGGGGGGGUCUCUCCUCCCCCGCUGCCCCCAAAAACCCAAAUUUGGGGUCCAAAUCCGCUGCUUUUGGGCAAAAGAAUUCCCAGGAAUCCCUUGGAUUCCGGAGGGGGAUCCCCUCCCUCCCUCAGUGCGGUUUUUGGGGGUUUCCCCCAAAUUUCCCGGGUUUAUUUUUGCCUUUUUUUGCCAUUUUUUGAUGGUUUUGGCGUUUUUCAAAGCGGGAUUUUUUUCUGGGGGGUCCCCCCAGUUUUUUGGGAGGGGUCCCCCAAUGUUUUCGGGGGGGUGGGGGUCGCCCUUUCUCCCAAAUUUUUCCUCCGUCCCCCUCCCCCCCAAAUUGGGGGGGGGUCUU